rnacentral:rRNA from 1 species
UGGGGAAUAUUGCACAAUGGGCGCAAGCCUGAUGCAGCGACGCCGCGUGGGGGAUGACGGCCUUCGGGUUGUAAACCUCUUUCAGCUCUGACGAAGCGCAAGUGACGGUAGGAGCAGAAGAAGGACCGGCCAACUACGUGCCAGCAGCCGCGGUAAUACGUAGGGUCCGAGCGUUGUCCGGAAUUACUGGGCGUAAAGAGCUCGUAGGUGGUUUGUCGCGUUGUUCGUGAAAUCUCACAACUCAAUUGUGAGCGUGCGGGCGAUACGGGCAGACUGGAGUACUGCAGGGGAGACUGGAAUUCCUGGUGUAGCGGUGGAAUGCGCAGAUAUCAGGAGGAACACCGGUGGCGAAGGCGGGUCUCUGGGCAGUAACUGACGCUGAGGAGCGAAAGCGUGGGGAGCAAACAGG